UGCGAAGGGGGCUAGCGUUGCUCGGAAUCACUGGGCGUAAAGCGCACGUAGGCGGAUUGCUAAGUCAGGGGUGAAAUCCUGGAGCUCAACUCCAGAACUGCCUUUGAUACUGGCGACCUUGAGUCCGGGAGAGGUGAGUGGAACUGCGAGUGUAGAGGUGAAAUUCGUAGAUAUUCGCAAGAACACCAGUGGCGAAGGCGGCUCACUGGCCCGGUACUGACGCUGAGGUGCGAAAGCGUGGGGAGCAAACAGG
rnacentral:rRNA from 1 species